rnacentral:lncRNA from 1 species
UUCAGUCCUUUUUUGCCUAAAUUUACACAUGUUGAAGCUCAAUUUUAAACCCACCAACCACCCAAAGGCCCAAUUUUGAGCUCACUUCUUCUUUUACAAGACUAUAAGAAAAAACCCUAGCCAUCUUCGUCUUCCUCGCCAAGACCUUUAACCUUAAGACAAGAACAACCAUGGAGGCUGCCAUAUCUUCUUCUUCUUGAACAAAGACUAGCGAGACCCUAGCGCCUAAAGAGCAUCCUUCAACGACCAACAGCUUCCACCGCCGCCCAUCUCCACAACCAUAGAAUGGUCUUCACCUCUGAACCCUUCAGCUGGAGCUUCUUCUUCACUCCUUGAACCAGACCCUCACACAAAACGAACCCCUCCCCGAGGUCGUUCUUCUUCAACAGAGGAACUUCUCAUCAUCCAUUAUCAAGGCCUAAGUAGCCAUCGCCGGAACACCUCUCCUCUUCAAAUCAACCAGCGACCAGACCCAAUCCAGCUCGCCGGAAAACACACACACAUACACCCGAAGAAGGAACGGACGAGAUUCUUUUUCUUAUUUUAAGUUCGGAUUCAAACCUUCUGAUUUUCAUGUCAAUUUCUAGCUUCUUCUUCUGAUUUCUGAUUUUAAAAAAGAAAACAUGGAACUCAAUCGAGUUUGAGUGAGCCGAUUCCUGUCAACGGUUCCGAUUUUUAAGUCCAAUUUCGGGUUUGAAUUUGGUUGUUGAGAUGGAGCUGGUUAAGUCGGUGUUCGGGUUCCGAUUCGCGUUUGUGCUAAUAUUUUUGGGGUUGAUACUCUUUUUUUUUUUGUUGAAUUUUGUUGCCCUUCAUUUGGACAAAACUGUAAGCCCGAAGUUUCUCUAAUCUGGAAGAAAUUUUUGCCAUUGAGUUGUGCGAUGGAGUUUGAUUGAGUUGGGCCGUUCCGAGCUGGUCAUAUCUGAACAUUUAUGUUGCUGCGUUUGUUUCUUUUAUGAUUUUCAGCCUUUGAGUGUGAGAGCAGAUUUAUGUGAGUAUGAUUGAACAUUCUGACCGAGUGCGAGUACGGAUGAGAUUUACAGUGCCGAUUUGAGUUUCAGUCCGCGGUUCGUUGCGUUUAUGCGUUUCAAGGCUGCCGUUCAUUUAUAUUUCAGAUUCAUUGAGGUCCAUUUCUAAACUCUGUUCUUGAUUGAUUAUAGUGCUCUUCUUCGUGCAUUUUGAUAAAAAAUAAAUCCCACUUGAUAUUUGAUUAUCUGGUUGUGUGUAUAUGGUAUAUUUUGUCUUGCAUUAGUAUGUUAAAUGUUUGUUGAUGUUUGAUUUCUUAAACAAGCAAAAGCGUCUUAGUAGAUUAAUGAUAUAUUGAAUUAAAUUUUAAUGAAAGUGGACAGUUAGGAAGUUAAAAGAAAGAUUUCAGUUGGGAAUUUGUCCAUUUGCUCGUUUUGAAUACCAUUUACCUCAUCGUACAAGUCGUGGUGGGAUUGAAUAUUGAAAAAUGGAAAGAAACUCAUAUCUUAUCUUGUUUAUUGCUUUAAUCGUUAGGAGCAUGUUGAGGUUCGCUAGCACUUGGGUAGGCAAGCUUUUGGACUUCUAUUAAUUUUGAGGCGAAAGAUCGUUCCCGUAGUUAAAUUCAUCCAGGGAAUGCCCCGAAGUAUUUGUAUAUAUUGUAAACAGGGGAAUGCCCCGAAGUAAAUGUAAAUGGAGGCCGUGGAAACAUCAAUGGGCAUAGUAUAGGCUAGCAAGCUUAUUUUAUUUUGCUUUACUUUUCUUUUAUUAGGUGGAGAUGACCUCGAGCCUUAUGUGUGUUUACUUUGUCUUUUUUUGUGAUUUUACCUCUAUUUUGAGUGUUUUAAAAGUCAACUAGAUCGAGUACGCAACGAUGAUUUUCACGGGACUUGGGGAGUGCCUAACACCUUCUCCCCGAGUCAAAUGAACCCCUUACCUGAAUCUUUGGUGCGGACUUAGUUUUGAGUCCAAGUGCUUUAAAAGGAAAAAUAAUUUCUAAAAACGGUGGCCUGGCACACCUUAAUCAAAUGCCAGGUGGCGACUCUGAGUUUAUUUACUUUCGAAAUAAAUUUUUGUCACUUUCCAAAUAGAAAGCCCUUUUCAAGCUUUUACUUAAAUCUUUUUAUUAAUUUAAGAGGGUUUAGUGAAAGUUUGAAUUUUUUAAAAAUGGGUGUGACAUCUCUGGCGACUCUGCUGGGGAGACUCGCGGGUUCGAGCUAGUACUCGAUUUUGUCUGCUUUAGAAUAUUUGGUUGAGUUUUUUUAUGUUUAUUUAUUUAGCUUUGCUCAAUUUUUAUUAUGUUUCGUAUUUUGUUACUUGCUAGUUGUUUAUGUGUUUACAAUUUUACUUUAUGUGUUUACUGCUUUAUAACUGUCAUCAUAUAUAUUACUCGGUCAAUUCUUUCUGCAACAAGUCUCGGAGCACGCACCGCCUGCACGAACUCUUCGUUGAGUCACCCUUAAUUUAGGACGGUGGCCGUCAGACGUAUGGAGUGGCUGUAAAGCUCGAGCAGCCACUAUCGACCAUACGCUCCCCCGAAUUGCCUUGUUAGUGAACCCCAAACUUAGGUCAGCCUUAGGUUAUUUUUAUUUGCAUCAUGUAAUUUACACCUAGUAGGGCUCGGUCCUAGGUACCGUGUCCAUUUGUAGGGAGCCUGUCCAAAUAUUGUCAAAAUGGGCCCAUGGCCCAAAAUGACAUUUAAUCAUCCUAUGUGCUAAAUGUUGCAUCUUUGAGGGUAAAACGGUUAUUUGGCGUACCAAUGUUUGGAAAGAAGGAUAAAAAUG